rnacentral:rRNA from 1 species
AGUGAACGCUGGCGAUAGGCUUAACACAUGCAAGUCGAGGGACCGGCGCACGGGUGCGUAACGCGUAUGCAACUUGCCUCACAGAGGGGGAUAACCCGUCGAAAGACGGACUAAUACCGCGUACUGUGAGAUAGGCAUGCGUCCCAUUAGCUAGUUGGUGAGGUAACGGCUCACCAAGGCAACGAUGGGUAGGUGAACUGAGAGGUGGAACCCCCACACUGGUACUGAGACACAGACCAGACUCCUACGGGAGGCAGAAGUGAGGAAUAUUGGGCAAUGGGCGAGAGCCUGAACCAGCCAAGUCGCGUGAAGGAUGACUGUCUAUGGAUUGUAAACUGCUUUUGUAGGGGAAUAUGUACCCUACGAAGAAGCAUCGGCUAACUCCGUGCCAGCAGCCGCGGUAAUUC